rnacentral:pre_miRNA from 1 species
GCGGAGACCGACAGCGGAGCUACCACCAUUGUUGGUAUCAAAAUCAGCUAAGUGCUAAGGAAGCUGUGCCGAUCUUGAUACCACCAAUGGUGGCGGCGCCGC